AGUAGCAUUGUCGACAUGACUCCCAAAGUUUUCAGUGUGAGUUGGUGGGAUUAGGCGUUUUAACUUUAAGUUUAAAGGCUAAGUUUGACUUUAGUCAACAUUCUGAGUAAACGCGCUCGGAUGAGAAUUCCGUCAGCGCGGUUAGCUCCGGAAUGUCGAGUUUGGUCUAGUUUGACCCUUCUUUCGGGUUUUGAGGUUUUUGAUAUUUUUCCGAGCCCUUUUGUGGUUUUUGACUUAAAAUGGCCAAUGGAAGUGGGACCCACAUUUUAUCGAGAUGACCUCUGAUGAAAAUUUCGACUGCGCCUUUGAGUCCGGAAUGUCGACUUUGGUAGGGUAGCAUAUCUAUUUUAUUUUUAUCAGGUUCCGAACGGAUUCCGAGCACCCGUCGGAGACUUUAAAGAAAGUAGGCAAAGCUGAAUCUGGUGCAGCCCCUAUAAAAACCCCAACUUUCAGCUUUAUGUUUUACUUUGGAACUUGAUAUCUUGAGCGAUACAACUCCGAAUUGGGCGAUUCAAAAGGCUAAGUUGUGAGAUUUUUCGAGGGCAACACAUUGGUGAGCUUGGAAUCUGAUUUGGGGACACGAUUUGAGGUCCGAAUCAAGUGAUUCAAGAGCCUAUAUUGUGGGGUUUUUCGUGAGGAUCGUCGUGGUGUGAUUGGUUUUGGCUGUUGGAGCUUCAUUUUUGGUAAAAUCUGUGUAUCAACGUUUCGAGGCCUUUUAGAAAGUAAAAGAUCCGGGGAGUGAAUUUUGGAGCGCGCGUGAUCUGCGUUCAGGUCCGAGCACCAGUAGUCAGCGUUGAUCGAGUUUGGAGCAUUUCUAGUCUGGAGACAGGGGUGAGCACACAGCGUUUUGUACUAUUUCAGUCUCCAUCUGUUUAUAUAAAGACUUGUCUUUUACUUUUCGAGACAGUCUAGUUUCACUGGUCCACUGUUGGGACUUGUACUCGUUUUGUUGGUAGCUUUGUAUUAGUGACUUCCAGGCUCUGGGAGGGAUCCUUAAUUGUAUUUAUGUUUUGGUUUGCUUA